GGGGAGGGGACGAGAACGAAGCAGGGUCAAUAGCUCAGAAUGACAGCUAUACCAGUUUAACUCCAGACAUCACGCCCGCUACAUCUCACCUCUCCAGUCACCACGCCACUACGCCACCACCGACCCCUCGAGUCUACGCAGCCCGGUGUCCGUCUGUGUCUUGUCGUCGGGCGUGACGUGCAGCAAAGGCGGUAACAGCAACGGGAAGUUUUAUCUACGUGAUGGAGGUUUUUCGUGCGGCGAGGUGACGUGCCGCUGCUGUGAGAUUAGCGGACCACCCCACCCCACUCUACAGCCACAGCACAGCAUAGCCACAGCACAGCGGAGAGGUUGGGGAUGGGGGAGAACGAGAACGAAGCAAGGUCAUUAGCUCAAUGGCAGCUAGAUCAGUAUAACUCCAGACAUCACGCCACCACCGACCCCUCGAGUGUACGAGUGAUUGGGAGGAAUGAAAGUGAGCGUGAAUGGAGGCAAGAGGAGGCAGAGUGGAAACUGAAUGCAGUGUGAUAAGAGACAGAAGGGAUGAAUAAGUGGAGUGUGUGACCGAGUUAGGGCACUAUGAAGACGUGUAAGGAAUGGUGGUGGUGGUGGAGAAACUAAGUUGAGACGAGUGAAAGGGUUUCAGCCAGUUUUAGGACGGACAGAGGAGGGAAAUGGUGUUAGUGAGUUAGGGCUUAUUAUGGAUGAAAUGAAGACGUGAAGGGAAAGUGUGGUGUUGAAAAUGUGUAGAGACGAGUGAAAGGCAGUGAAGGUGUGUUUAGGGCAAUGUUGCGUUAGAUGUAGGGAUAAUUAGUAAACAAGGUAUUGCUGUUUUGUUAAUUUUGUCCAUUACAGGAGUUGACUAUCCGAAGGCCUGACUCGCAGCGGCAAUGAG
rnacentral:misc_RNA from 1 species